rnacentral:ncRNA from 2 species
GGGCACGAUGCGGGAGAGCAUGGGCGCCUUUCAGGCUUGAGCCCGUCGCCGAAGGAGCAACCGCCCCGGAAUCUCUCAGGCCAAAGGACCGCAUCGCGCGU